UACGGAGGGUGCGAGCGUUGUCCGGAAUCACUGGGCGUAAAGGGCGCGUAGGCGGCGCGGAUAGUCGGCGGUGAAAGCCCGGAGCUCAACUCCGGGUCGGCCGUCGAUACUUCCGGGCUUGAGCACUGUAGAGGCAGAUGGAAUUCCGGGUGUAGCGGUGGAAUGCGUAGAGAUCCGGAAGAACACCGGUGGCGAAGGCGGUCUGCUGGGCAGUUGCUGACGCUG
rnacentral:rRNA from 1 species